UCUCAUACGACGGUAGUAUAAAUGUUGUUGGCCCUGCAAGAAGCAUAAACUGCCUUGUGUUCGAGUGUGUUCUCGAAAUGACUGCCGAUUUCUGACGAGUACAUCAAAGCGGAAGCAGUAUCGAAGUCGUUUCUCGUUCAUGUAAACGUGAUACUGACGCGAGGUUUUAUAUCUCUUGUUUUUGUGAUUUGUCGGGUGAAAGUUAAGUGAUAAAGUGUAAAAUGACAUUCCUUUACGUGUGUUAAAAUAGUUUGAUUUGUAAUAACGUUAUAAUUUCGAUCACAUGAUGUGUGCGUGAGAGAAACUUGAUCCAUCCUGUCACUGUCAUAGACGUGCAGCUGCCAUUACGCCGUUCGGACUCAAAUCCAGUGGUGUCAAGUGGACUGGCUGGCUUGAGGUCACUAGCAGGUACAAGCGAAAAAUAAGGUUCUUCAAGCUCUGCUGUUAGCCGGCCUGACAGAAAUCCCUGCAAGUACGUAAUUAACAGUUGUAAUCAAAUACAGAUGAAGUUUUGCAUCUAAAUUGUGUCCUGAAUGUACUGACUUCUGUAGAAACCACAUAAAUGAAUACAUAUUAUUCUAUUAAA